rnacentral:lncRNA from 1 species
CUCUGGACUGCUGGGACUCUAAGCUAGGCCCUCCCCAGGUUCCAUCACUGCGGCGCCAACCCGCGGCUGGGCUGUCCGCAAGAGGGAGUUGAAGGCGCGCGGAAUCCCGAGGUGCAGCUGACCCUCCUCUCAACGCCGACUCUGCCGCUCCCGCCCGGCCACCUCCCUGUCGGGCAGACUUCCUGUUCUCCUGCUCACAGCAGGGAGGCAGUCGCCGAGCCGGUCAGCAGCGUGCACGGAGAUCUUCACUCUGCGCCCAGCCCCGGGACACAGGUGCAGAUCUCCAGCGGAGCACUGCGGAGUGCGCGCCGUCGAGCACUAGGGAAUCCUAGACGGAGGACUUGGUCCAUUCCACGCAGUCCCAGGCAGGUCCGCAGCGGAGGGACGCAGCGGUCUCCAACUCCUGGUCACGACUUCGGCGACCCUCCACCCCCUGAGAGACCUGGUCCCACGGAGCUGUCCCCCCAGGAGCCGCAGCGGGAAUAGCAAAGCAAAGGGGACCACUCAGCCCCCAGGAGGAGCCCUGAAGCAAAAAGGUUGCUGCGGGGAGCCACGUUCCCUCUGGUUCACCUCGAAGCCCAGGAGCUCCGGUCCCUGGACCAAGGAGUGAACAGACCUGAGGAAGAGGUGCAAGCUUAAAGUGUUGCUGCCAGACCUUUCUUCUCUUCUAAUUUACCAAGUGAAGAAUGUUGAAAUAUCCAACUAUAAUUUGUGGAUUUCUCCUUUCAAUGCUAUCAUUUUUGGUGCUUCAUGUAUUUUUGAAGCUCUAUUAUUAGCCUCUCUUGAACCUUCACAGUCCAGCCGAGCUGCCAUCUCUUCAAGGAAGUUUUCCCUGAAGCCCUCAGGUAGACCCGUUUUUCCAUGGCGGCCACAUCAGCAUGCAGCACAUUUAAUUGGAAGUCUCCACAUAUGAGUUGGUUUUCCUUACUUAAAAUAUGCUUAUCAUCCCUUGGAGGUCUGAUGCAUUUUUCUGUCUCUGCAGACCAGCUCCUCCCCCCUCCAAAUCUCAAUGGAAGAAUGCGACAUUCUGGAUUCAGCUACCCAAAGAGGGGUUUUUUCCCCCUCUUUGUCUCUAUUAUACAUUUUAUAGGAAGGAAUUCUGUCCCAGUUAAUUCAAACUGGGACCAGAGGAACAGGGUCCCGCUGCUCAAAAUGGCUGUCACCCGUGGGUAAGGGGAGCAGUCAGAGAGUCAUUGUGACUGGGGUGGCAGUCCCACUCCAAUCUGCCUUGUGGCUUCCUAGCCUGCAACAUACAUCCUCCCAGACAUACAAAAUGUGCCUCUGCCUGAGUCUUCCUGGCAGGGAGUUUGGUACCCCCCAACAUUGGGAGGGGAGCUUACAACACAGGACUAUCUCUUCCCAUAGAUAAUCUCCUCACAAAGCUCCACUCAGGACCACUUAUAUUCUUGAGCACUUGAAAAUAUUGGCUAUUUCCUUCUGACCCCCAUGGUUUCUUUUAAAAAAUUUGCUGUUGUUUGAAUUAUUUUUCUCUACAGGUAUUGACUGCUGCCUCAUGAAGGCUGGUCCUGUCUCUAUAGUGAAUAUUGUGCACCUCAGGGUAGAAUGGAGAGCAGAAGACUUCAAAUCAGGCAGUCUGGGUUCAGACCCCAAUUCUAGUGCUAAAUAGCUACGUGACUUUAGGCCGAUUGUGUGUGACUUCCCUGAGCCCCAGUCUCUUUGCCUGCAAAAUGAGAAAAAUUAUAACAAUGUCAUCGGUUGUUCUGAGGAUUCUGAGAGGAAUUAGUAGGAGAGAGAACUAAGAAGCUGCGGGCCUCUACAGAGCCAUUCAACUGGCAUUUCGGAAGAUGUUGCCCAUCAGAGUCAGACCUUCUUAGCAUCUUCCGGCUGGGCCCAAACUUCCCAAGACCAUUUGGACAAGGUCAUCUCUAUCCCACCAUGGCCUCCUCCCAGAGGAGGAGAAGAAUCAUGCUGUUACAGCAGAACCGAAGAUUUGGGCAAGGGAGCUAAUGAUUAUGUUCUGCGUCAGGUCAGAGAUGGGCUGGGAAAGCCACUCCAAAGCCAAGACAAGCAGUUUCCUGGAAAAAGAAGGCUGCGCGGAGCCCAGAGUGGCCUGGAUCCUGCCUCAUUUCCUGGACCAGCUCCUUAGGUGGUUACUGGAUUGCCAAUAAAGCAGAGCUUAUUAAAGUCAACGAGCUCAGGCUUCAUCGCCGCCAUGGUAUCCAAGCACCAGUCUGUCUGGGAUUUCAUUUGCCAGAUGGACAAAGGAGAGGUUGUUCCAAUACAUAUCCUGAGUGGUGGGGGUGGGGAGAGAAGGGGAAGAAUGCUCUCUAGAGAAUUCUCUUUGUCCUCUGAAGUAAAUAGAGAUCAUGUCUUCCCCAGCCACACUCAGUGAUCUGAAUCUCUUGGACUGUGGAUUUUUCCUUUACCUGCUGUGAAGCCUUGAAAAGUAUGAAUUAGCUUGAUAAUGAUCCUCUAAAGAUGUUCAAGAGUUAAAGACGUGUUUAAGUUCUUCAGGCAAUCCAAUAUGACUACGGGUUUCCAAAAAUUUGAAGGAAACUGAAAAUCAUAGUUCCCAAACCAGAUAUUUUCCGGUGUCCAGAUGUUCACUGGCAUGCAAACCAAAUGUCUGGAUUAUGAGCUCCUUUUUUCAUUUCUUUUUAUCAGCUUACAUCCAGAUGUUGGAUCCAACUGGUCAGAGGCCUGGGGCAGAGACAGAAAUCAAAUCUAGGGUGUUCAUCUAGAGUCUCCUGCUCCUCCAUUCCUGCUUCCUCCUCACGCUGCCCCCACAUCCUCCCCAACUCACCUUCAUGCUACAUCUCGGCAAAUACAGCUCAUAUCCAGGCACGGUGCAGCCCUUGACAGCUGGGUCCGCAAAGGCAGAUCGGGUAUAUCUUUAAAGAAAAGUUAUCUUAACCAUUGAGAAGCCUUCCUUCCUCAGAGGAGAGCACCUCCCCAGCAGACCUCCGAGGAGACCAAGGGCAGGACAGGAAGGGUGAAAGGAAGUUUCAGGACUGCAGGAAAUAAGAGCUUGGAGGUCAAGGGAGAGAUCAGAUAAAACAUGAAUCUGAUCAGCAUCCUAGUGGUCUAGAGUGGAGACAAUCUGCGGAGUCAACCUCAGUAAGGACACACAUAGAGAAGAACCAAAGCCUCUAAAGACGAAGCUGAGAAGUGUACGGUCGUAGAAGACUCGUGUCUGUUAUUCUUAAAAGCUCAAGGAGAUGUUCUGCCAAUUGAAUGGAAACUGUCCAUAGUGGGGAGCAGAGAGCCUCAUCUUUUCUGGAACUGAACAUCCAUCCUUAAGGCCAGAUUUCUCCCAUCACCAACUUUAACUCCUGCCCUAGCCCUCUCUCUUCCUUUUCAAAACCCUCUCCACCCAGGAAGGGAGAUUCUGGAGCCAAGACUGUACCAGCCACACCUCCCCAGAGUUGUUAAGGAAGGAACUCGAAGCCAGGGGUGGUCUUCUGGCAAGCACCCCCACUACCAGUAGCAGGACAGAUGUGUUUCUAAUGGACUACACUAUCCCCGGAGGUCACAUGAUUCAGGCUGCCAAGGGUACCUGCCCUUGGGAAAUCAACUCCCGAAGAUAAAUUGGGAUUGGGUCCUGAGAAGAUCCAUGGAAGCCCAGAGGACCCUGCCUCUCUCUGUUGCUUCAUGCUGUAGAGGCAGUACUGGGGAGGGCCUGCCCCACAUCCGGCAGGGCAGCUGGAACCAUGUGUUUGAUGACACUCUGCUCCCUCAAUGUGGAGCCUCAUCCUCAUCUCACAGUCUAGCAGGCCUCUGGUGGGUUAGGCUUGUCUCACCCAGUGUGUGAGUUUUUUUGGAAGUGACCUGAUUUUGGAGUUUCCCUCCAAGCCUUUCUCAGGUACAUGCUUUCUCUUUUAUUCUGUCUUCUUUUUUUGAUCUUCUUAAAUCUGAUUUUCUCCUUUUUCCCUCUCUUGUCUCCAUCUUUUUUCCAGUCUCUCGCUUCUCUUUAUUUCUCCCCAUAUUUCACUCUGUUCUCUCACCCCAACCUUUCCCUUCUGUUUCUCUCCCUCCCUCUCUUCCCACCCCCUGCCUGGCCUUCCAUAUAUCAAGCAGAGUUUUAUCACCUUAUGCAGGGGCAGCCCUGCCACCUGCCAUAAAGUUGAUAGGCUAAUGACAUUUUGUGGAUAUUGCCAUGUCACAAGUCCAGGACAGCAUCAAAAAUAGCCCUGAUGUCUAAACCACUUCAGCUAUCUUUUUUAUUUUUAAAAUAAAUACAUUCACAUGCUUUUAAGAAACUAUAAAAAUAUAUAAAGUAAAAAGAUCUUUCUCUCACACUGUCUCCACCUCUCCUGGUCUCACCGUUGUGCUUAGGGGAAACCAUUGUGAUUAGUUUCUCCUGUGUCCUUCCAGAGUGUCUUUAUGCAAAUGAAAAUUAUUGUGAUAAUAUAUUCCUAUUUUCCCCCUUACUACACAAAAGAUAGACUACCAUAAUCCCAUUCUGCACUUUUUUUUCACUUGAUAAUAAAAACAUGAUUU